CAGUCGCCGCGGUAAUACAGAGGGUGCGAGCGUUAAUCGGAUUUACUGGGCGUAAAGCGUGCGUAGGCGGCUUCUUAAGUCGGAUGUGAAAUCCCUGAGCUUAACUUAGGAAUUGCAUUCGAUACUGGGAAGCUAGAGUAUGGGAGAGGAUGGUAGAAUUCCAGGUGUAGCGGUGAAAUGCGUAGAGAUCUGGAGGAAUACCGAUGGCGAAGGCAGCCAUCUGGCCUAAUACUGACGCUGAGGUACGAAAGCAUGGGGAGCAAACAGGAUUAGAUACCCGUGUAGUCCCUGUCUCUUAUAC
rnacentral:rRNA from 1 species